CUCUCCGGACGCACGCAUGCAUUCGUAAUGUUCCGUGCUCGUUUGCUCGGUCGCUCGGUGCUCCCGCUCGCGGCCGAAAAUGACACAUCGCGACGCGCGGGCGACGCGCGAUAACCACGCACGCAUCGAGAGGAGCGUCGUCGGGCAGAAGCAAUGCGGUUUCGCGCACUUGAUCGAGAAAAGAAGUGAUUGAGAAAGAUCGCGGAUUCUCCGGAUAUCGGCCGACUAAGCUCAAUACGGCACGGCGUGACGCGACGCGACGUGCCAGCGGACAAUGGCAAUCUCGAGCUGGGUGAUGUGGGGUAGAAGUCUGCGAACCGGCCGAUCUCACCGAAGCCGCCAGGACGCCGAGGACAACUGUGUGCAACUCGACCUGUCUAGAGGAUUAAAGGAGAACGUCAAGGAAGUCUUGACUAAUCUCUGCCAGCGUCACAAUGUUCCAAGUGUAAAAAAGUUAGCUUACCUCAACGCUAUCGUCAAAUUAAUCAGCGAAACCGAUGCCCAGGAUUAUGGAUAUUCAGCGGACGAUCUAUUUUGUUGCUUACGUGUGGCACUGGUGCACGAGGCGACCCAGGUACGCGCCGCCGCAUUGCGAGCCGUACGCUACAUGCUCAAAAAGGAACAAGAUGUCAUCGCGAUCAACAGACUGCAAUACCCGUACUUCUUGGCGCGCAGCAUGGACGUCAAUCUGCGCAACGAGAUGGAGAGGAUGCAGGCUCUCCGACUCGUCAGGCGGAUCCUGGUGUUGGCCCCUAAGCAUUUCAGUCCGACUUUAGCAAGAUCCCUCAUCAGCCUGACCAACAGCGGCAUAGAGGAGCGAGACCGAGCGUUCCGGGCAUUCCUGGCGACCCUCUGCGAACUAGGUGUCCUGAACUCGAAUCUGCUGAUCAGUUGCGGCGGUGUCGGCACACUGGCAAGAGCCGCGAUGACCGGCCAGAGCGCGGUCGUGGUCGAAUCUAUCGUGGGAGUAUUGCUGAGACUGUUGAGUAACCCGGACACGCGCAGCAGCGUUUCCCUGCUGUGCUUCGCCGCGCCCUACUGCGAGCUGCACUCCUCCAACAUCGAGAGAACCAAGGAGGAGCGCGAGCAGAGGUUCGCCGCCAGCAAAUUGGCCCUGCUGAGCAUUCUGCGUUCGUACCCGGGCGUCAUCCACUUCUGUCGGCCCGACAACAAUUCCGGCCUCAAGGCUAUCGCCGAUAUCCUGUACGUGGAGCAGCUGGAGGUGCGCGGGGCCGUACUGGAGUUGCUUUACGAGUUGUUGGACCUGCCACUGCCCACAUGGACCGACGAGCCGGACGUCGCCCUGGCCGCGGUGGACCCCAGCCGGUCGAGGGAUUCGUGGAAGCUCUCUGAAGGCUUCGUCGCGGCCGAGGGUAAAUUCAUCCUGCCGUCCUUGUCGUCGCAUUGUCCCAACAUCACGGAGAUCCAUCUGGCGCUAUUGGUGUACGUUCUGCUGGAGUGCGGCCUCCACCGCGCCUUGGCGGAGACCAUCGUCUCCAGCGAUACCUUCAUCUCGGUGCGCGCGGCAGUACUGUUGGGCGCACUGCUGCACCUGGCACAUUCGUUGCUGCCGUCUGAAGUCUGCGACCUCACGCCACCCUUGCCGAACCUGCUGGAGCAUGCGAGCGCCGGCAGACAUCAGGCGCUCGCAGCGGUGACGAUCCUUGAGCGAAUGCACACGAUGAUGCGGCGCAGACCGAGUCCGGCGAGUCUCUUCCUAGACCGGAUCCUCCAAGGUGGCACUUGGCUACGACCGACUCUGCCGCGACGCCGACGACCAUCCGGACGGCAUUGGCUGCGGAUCGGCCGCGAGUCGCCGAUCACUCCGUUGCUGAAGGACGCGCAGGUGCUCAUCUCGAAGGACGCGCUCGCGUGGAACUGGCCGAUGAUCCGCGCAAUCCUGCGCUCGAGGGAGGACGCGACGCGCAUCCUGCACGACUCCGACCACCGGCUAUUCAUGAAGCGGCUGGUGCGUUACUUCAAGCCCUCGUGGAACGGUUACAGCAGGAUCGAGCUCGGCACGAGCGCGACGUUCGCGCGCGAGGCCACCUUGGCCGGCUGCGACCUGCUCAACUGCCUGCUGGAGUUGCACGAGCCGGAGGGUGCCCGGCUGCUGAACGAGCUGAUCGGCGACGUAGCCGAGCAGAUCAGCAAGAUCCGCGCCGCCGAGUCCGCGCACGAUUGCUUGUUCUCGCCGCGGCAUAUGUCCACCACGUGCUGCCAAAAGUACUUCUUGUUCCUCGGCCAGCUCAGCCACUCGGCCAAGGGCACAGUGGUGUUGAAGAGCUUCAAUCUCCUGGAGAAGCUGCAGGACCUCGCGUUGGUCACCAACCAUGACUGCUACGUGAAGCUGAUCGUCUCCAGUCUAGAUUACUCCCGGGACGGGCCCAAUAGGAAAGUGCUCAGCAAGAUUAUCACCGAGGCGACGUUGUCGAGCACUCGGCUGUACGCCACGCAGUUCCUCCGGCUGAUACUGCGCGCGCGCAUGACGGACGCCGUGCGCUGGGCGAUGUCGUUGCUCGCGGAGCGGCUGUCGGACGCGUCUAUGGCCGUGGCGUUGACGGCGCUGGACGCGCUGCACGAGGCCUGCGAAGAGACGGAGUACUUGGAGGCGAUGUUGCAGCAAGGUGGGCAGUCGCGCGACUGGGACAAGUGGCUGCAGCACUUGGGCGACAAGGGUUACCUGCUGAAGAUCCGACUGUACUCGCUGCAGCAAGGCUUCGCCAGCCUGUCCGCGCCGGCGGAGGAGCUGGAACGGUGGAUCGGCCCGGGCAGCUUCGCCGAGCGAUACGUGGGCCUGGUGGAGAGCGAGAUACACGACGCGCUGACGCGCCGCCAGCGCGACGAGACCGGCAGCUACCAGAGGAGGACCAGCAACUCGCCGAUAGUGCCGCACGACAUCUUCACGCCGCCGCAUCUCAUCGGCCAGUUGGCGCAGCACGAGUUGGGCAUGCAACUGCUGCUCCGUCGCAACGUCAUACAGCGUUUCGCCCGGGUGCUCCAACGAUUCAAGCUCGAGUUUGGCAGCGGCGGCGGCGGCGGCGGUGGUGGCGGUGGCCGCCGCGACUCCGAGUCCAACAACUCCAGGACCACCAGGACGUGUCGCCUGGUGGUCACCGCCGCCAACGCUACCGCUGCCUCCACCGCCUCUACUGUCGCCAUCACCGCCGUCAGCACUGCCGUCGCCGUCGCCGUCGUCGCCGCCGCCGCCACCGUUACCGUCACCACCGCCGCCAGCAGCAACAGCAACGUUGCCGACGAGGGCAGCCUCGCCGCGCCGACGGACGCGUCCAGUGGCGUGGACGAGACUGCCGAAUGCAGCAGUCGUCUCGAGACCAUCCCUGAUUCCGAGAUGACCGAGUCGCGCACCGACGGCUCGCUCGCCGAAGCCCGCCGCAAGACCAGCGUGGACGACUCCAGGCACACCACUCCGGAGCGCAGCUGGAGGAUAGAGACGAUCGAAGCGUCGAGGGACGAGCAGCAGCACUCCAGCGUCGGUCCCAACGGCGGCAUCCUCAAGGUCAAGUCCGCUCUGUGGGCGUUGGGCCACGCCGGCACGUCGGCCGCCGGUGUCGAACACCUCGUGCACUUGGGCAUCGUCGAGAUGAUCACCUCCAUGGCAGAGACGUGUCCGUAUUACUCGGUGCGCGCCACCGCGAUGUACGCACUCAGCCUGAUCGGCACCACUCGCGCCGGUGCUGACGCCUUGAUCAACUUUGACUGGCCGUGCGUGAGGCACCGGCGGGGCGACAACUGGCCGGUGGUACCGCCCACCACGAGGUACCCGGUGCCCAGCCCGGUGCCUGUGCAGCGACAUCAUCGCAGUCUCAGCGAUGGCAAGCCGGAGCUACCGGAGCCGAUCGCGCGCCGGACCAGGAACCGAUCCGAAAGUGCGGCGACGGACCUCGAAGCGCGGCGAUACGUUCUUCCAGAGAGAGGCGAAACCCCGAGUCCCGUCUCGAGUAUACAAAGAUUAAGCCAACAAGACGCUGAAGGAUACGCGCGAUUACGUAGUUUACAACGCUAUCGCAGGCCGAGUUACUCCCAAAGUAGCUUAGAAAUGUAUAGUUUAGAUGGUCGGUUGUCGUUGCAAAGUCUCUCGGAGCUGGACUCGUCCCGCAGCUGGAUCGCGGAGAACACGAUCCUCACCCCGACGCCGCCGCCGCCGCCGGAGGACGACAGCGAGAAUCUGUUCUACAUGGGCGUCUGCCUACCCAGGAGGCUGAUCACCAUCUUCCCCGAGCCCCCUCAACCGACGCAGCCCAACAUCUUCGAGGACAUUGUCCGAUCCGAGCUGGAGACUACGGAGAUCGACGAGGAGUCCAGCUCGGAGUGCGACCCGGACACCGAGCACUGUCGCACGUGUCUCGUUUGUUAUCACGGCAAGAGCAGCACCAGGGACACCACGGAGCAGGAUGUAAAGUUGCGAAGAGAGAUACUUAGGCAUACCCAACGGCUCGCAAACCCAGUGUGGUAUCGUCAUAGUCGUCAGGCGUUGCUCAGACUGAGGCAACGUUAUCCUGAGAAGUUUCAGGUACUGUCGCAUCCUUCGCUUCCUUUUAUUCCCUCGCUGGAAAACUGCCCCGACGUGCUCGGAAGGAGUGCUUUCUUACUUCCCUUGAUACCUGUUUAUUUUCGGAUGUAGCCGCACGUUUGGGCAGCGGUACAUAUAGAAUGCCAGCCCGGCGAUUCCUGCAAGAAUUAUUUCUAGAUUCUCCAUUCGAGGCGCUUUACAUGGAACCGGUCAACAUUCUGAAGAUUCCGAUCGGCACUGAGGAGAAUCCACCGCAGUCGUCAGCUGUUAUCGCACCCGAGGCUAGCCCGCGUCAGGCCGUCGGCCUCGCAGAGGGCAAGGUCAAUGGAAGGCUCACACUGACUGAGAUACAAACGGUGCAAUUGGCGUCGGUGGCCGAAGAGGGC
rnacentral:misc_RNA from 1 species